ACGGGAGGCAGCAGCUAAGAAUAUUCCGCAAUGGACGAAAGUCUGACGGAGCGACGCCGCGUGGAUGAUGAAGGUCGGAAGGUUGUAAAGUCCUUUUAUAACUGAGGAAUAAGUAAGGUGAGAGAAACGCCUUAUGGUGACUGUAGGUUAUGAAUAAGCAACGGCUAAUUACGUGCCAGCAGCCGCGGUAACACGUAAGUUGCGAGCGUUGUUCGGAAUUAUUGGGCGUAAAGGGCAUGUAGGCGGUUUUGCAAGCUUGGUGUGAAAUCCCGGAGCUUAACUCCGGAAUUGCGUUGAGAACUGCAUAACUAGAGUCACUGAGGGGCAAUCAGAAUUCCUGGUGUAGGGGUGAAAUCUGUAGAUACCAGGAAGAAUACCAAUGGCGAAGGCAGGUUACCAGCAGAUGACUGACGCUGAGGUGCGAAGGUGCGGGGAGCAAACAGGAUUAGAUACCCUGGUA
rnacentral:rRNA from 1 species